rnacentral:rRNA from 1 species
AACAAACGCUGGCGGCGUGCCUAACACAUGCAAGUCGUACGAGAAAGGGUCCUUCGGGGCCUGAGUAAAGUGGCGCACGGGUGAGUAACGCGUGGAUAAUCUGCCCUUCAGUUGGGAAUAACUCAUCGAAAGGUGGGCUAAUACCGAAUAAUGCUGUGAGACCUCGGUUGAUCAGCCAAAGAGAGCCUCUGCUUGCAAGCCCUCGCUGAAGGAUGAGUCUGCGUACCAUUAGCUAGUUGGUAGGGUAAUGGCCUACCAAGGCGACGAUGGUUAGCUGUUCUGAGAGGAUGAUCAGCCACACUCGAGCUGAGACACGGUCCAGACUCCUACGGGAGGCAGCAGUGAGGAAUCUUGCGCAAUGGGGGCAACCCUGACGCAGCAACGCCUCGUGAGUGAGGAAGGUCUUCGGAUCGUAAGCUCUGUCGGAUGGAAAGAACCGCAUAGGGGUAAACAGCCCCUGUGUCUGACGGUACCAUCAAAGGAAGCACCGGCUAACUCCGUGCCAGCAGCCGCCGUAAGAC